AUCCUUUUUUUACACACCAUACCCCGAAGGAUAAAUGUAUAAGGGAGUUUUUCCAUUUAAAGUGACAUUAUUCAGAUCGUGAUUGUUUAUUUGUUCAGAGUCGCUACUUGGGAAAGGUUUGGCUUUUGGUGUCCGAAGUCGCCAUCAAGGCACCCUUGUUCGCCGACACAUUUCGACUUCGUCGAGAUUUGAAUUUGGGUCGCAUUAAUGCGUACCCGAGUUUAAGGAAGGUAAUUUU
rnacentral:lncRNA from 1 species